rnacentral:rRNA from 1 species
AGUGAACGCUGGCGGUAUGCCUAACACAUGCAAGUCGAACGGCAGCACAGUAAGAGCUUGCUCUUACGGUUGGCGAGUGGCGGACGGGUGAGGAAUACAUCGGAAUCUACUUUUUCGUGGGGGAUAACGUAGGGAAACUUACGCUAAUACCGCAUACGACCUACGGGUGAAAGCAGGGGAUCUUCGGACCUUGCGCGAUUGAAUGAGCCGAUGUCGGAUUAGCUAGUUGGCGGGGUAAAGGCCCACCAAGGCGACGAUCCGUAGCUGGUCUGAGAGGAUGAUCAGCCACACUGGAACUGAGACACGGUCCAGACUCCUACGGGAGGCAGCAGUGGGGAAUAUUGGACAAUGGGCGCAAGCCUGAUCCAGCCAUACCGCGUGGGUGAAGAAGGCCUUCGGGUUGUAAAGCCCUUUUGUUGGGAAAGAAAAGCAGCAGGUUAAUACCCCGCUGUUCUGACGGUACCCAAAGAAUAAGCACCGGCUAACUUCGUG